rnacentral:siRNA from 1 species
AAGGGUGUGCUCAUAAGGUGAAA